rnacentral:miRNA from 1 species
UGCGGCCGGUGCUCAGCCUGC